rnacentral:lncRNA from 1 species
AUUUAAAAAUUUAAUUUAUACAUCGAUAUAGGAACAAGAUUUAAAAUUACAGAUGCCAUGGCACGGCAAGUUGGUUAAACGUACAUAUUAGUAAAAUAAUAAAACAUAGUAUACAAACUAUUGAAGUAGAGACAGAAUGAUAAAGCAAUAAAAUAUAGUAUACAAAUUAUUGAAAUAAGACAAAAAUAAAUUAUAAUCCAAAAUAUAGUCCAACCAACUUGUAUAUCCAGGAAGUUGAAACAGAAAAAGGUGAUUAUAUCAUUAUAACAUAUAAAAAGCCUACUUACGUACCAAUUAUAAUACCAGCAUGGUCUAACGACUACAUGCCAUAUAAAUUGGCUGCCUUUAGAGCUAUGUUUAUGCACAUACAUACACACAUAACUAAGUGGCAAGACAAAUAUCAACAGCUCUCCUAUAUAUAUAACAUAGGCCAUAAAUAUGGGUAUACCUUUAAAGUAAUGGAUGGGGUUUGGAAGAAUGUGAAAAAACGAUUAGAAAGGCCACAACAAAGGAAUGUACCGACCCAACAAAACAAAAUACAUACGUUCUCAAUCAUUACGUACUAUAAAACAACCAAUAAGAUCCUUAGUAAACACCUAUGAGGAAAACAAGAAAAAUGCUUAGAAGAAGAGUGCCGACCCUGUUCGAGAGUAUACGGAAUGAUAGAU